rnacentral:rRNA from 2 species
UGGGGAAUAUUGGACAAUGGGCGCAAGCCUGAUCCAGCCAUGCCGCGUGUGUGAAGAAGGCCUUUUGGUUGUAAAGCACUUUAAGCGAGGAGGAGGCUACUUGGAUUAAUACUCUAGGAUAGUGGACGUUACUCGCAGAAUAAGCACCGGCUAACUCUGUGCCAGCAGCCGCGGUAAUACAGAGGGUGCGAGCGUUAAUCGGAUUUACUGGGCGUAAAGCGUGCGUAGGCGGCUUCUUAAGUCGGAUGUGAAAUCCCUGAGCUUAACUUAGGAAUUGCAUUCGAUACUGGGAAGCUAGAGUAUGGGAGAGGAUGGUAGAAUUCCAGGUGUAGCGGUGAAAUGCGUAGAGAUCUGGAGGAAUACCGAUGGCGAAGGCAGCCAUCUGGCCUAAUACUGACGCUGAGGUACGAAAGCAUGGGGAGCAAACA